rnacentral:rRNA from 1 species
CGCUGGCGGCACGCCUAACACAUGCAAGUCGAACGAAGUAGCAAUACUUAGUGGCAGACGGGUGAGUAACAUGUAGGUAUCUACCCUUUGGCCUGGAAUAACACGAGGAAACUUGUGCUAAUACCGGAUAAGUCUUUACGGAGAAAGCUUUAUGCACCAUUGGAUGAGCCUGCACUUGAUUAGUUUGUUGGUGGGGUAAUGGCCUACCAAGACUGUGAUCAAUAGCUGAUUUGAGAGGAUGAUCAGCCACAUUGGGACUGAGACACGGCCCAAACUCCUACGGGAGGCAGCAGUGGGGAAUCUUGCACAAUGGAGGAAACUCUGAUGCAGCGAUGCCGCGUGAGUGAAGAAGGCCUUUGGGUUGUAAAGCUCUUUCGUCGGGGAAGAAAAUGACUGUACCCGAAUAAGAAGGUCCGGCUAACUUCGUGCCAGCAGCCGCGGUAAUACGAAGGGACCUAGCGUAGUUCGGAAUUACUGGGCUUAAAGAGUUCGUAGGUGGUUGAAAAAGUUAGUGGUGAAAUCCCAGAGCUUAACUCUGGAACUGCCAUUAAAACUUUUCAGCUAGAGUAUGAUAGAGGAAAGCAGAAUUUCUAGUGUAGAGGUGAAAUUCGUAGAUAUUAGAAAGAAUACCAAUUGCGAAGGCAGCUUUCUGGAUCAUUACUGACACUGAGGAACGAAAGCAUGGGUAGCGAAGAGGAUUAGAUACCCUCGUAGUCCAUGCCGUAAACGAUGUGUGUUAGACGUUGGAAAUUUAUUUUCAGUGUCGCAGCGAAAGCGAUAAACACACCGCCUGGGGAGUACGACCGC